CUACGGGGUGCUGCAGUGAGGAAUAUUGGUCAAUGGCCGAGGGGCUGAACCAGCCAUCCCGCGUGCAGGAUGACGGCCCUAUGGGUUGUAAACUGCUUUUCUACGCCAAGAAAUCUGAUUACGUGUAAUUAGUUGACGGUAGCGUAGGAAUAAGCAUCGGCUAACUCCGUGCCAGCAGCCGCGGUAAUACGGAGGAUGCAAGCGUUAUCCGGAUUCAUUGGGUUUAAAGGGUGCGCAGGCGGGCUUGUAAGUCAGUGGUGAAAUACUGCCGCUUAACGGUAGAACUGCCAUUGAUACUGCAAGUCUUGAAUAUGGGUGAGGUAGGCGGAAUGUGUUGUGUAGCGGUGAAAUGCAUAGAUAUGACACAGAACGCCGAUUGCGAAGGCAGCUUACUAAGCCAUUAUUGACGCUGAGGCACGAAAGCGUGGGGAGCGAACAGGAUUAGAUACCCGGGUAGUC
rnacentral:rRNA from 1 species